rnacentral:rRNA from 1 species
GAGUUUGAUCCUGGCUCAGGAUGAACGCCGGCGGUGUGCCUAAUACAUGCAAGUCGUACGCACUGGCCCAACUGAUUGAUGGUGCUUGCACCUGAUUGACGAUGGAUCACCAGUGAGUGGCGGACGGGUGAGUAACACGUAGGUAACCUGCCCCGGAGCGGGGGAUAACAUUUGGAAACAGAUGCUAAUACCGCAUAACAACAAAGGCCACAUGGCUUUUGUUUGAAAGAUGGCUUUGGCCAUCACUCUGGGAUGGACCUGCGGUGCAUUAGCUAGUUGGUAAGGUAACGGCUUACCAAGGCGAUGAUGCAUAGCCGAGUUGAGAGACUGAUCGGCCACAAUGGAACUGAGACACGGUCCAUACUCCUACGGGAGGCAGCAGUAGGGAAUCUUCCACAAUGGGCGCAAGCCUGGUGGAGCAACACCGCGUGAGUGAAGAAGGGUUUCGGCUCGUAAAGCUCUGUUGUUGGAGAAGAACGUGCGUGAGAGUAACUGUU